CGUGAUGACGUGGAGCAGGAGGGCACAGUGUGACUGCCUACGCCAGGACGCUGGAACUCAGGCCAUAGGCAAAGACAAAGAGAGGAUUACAGAAACAAGAUAUGACUGGAAGAAAUAAUCAUGGAGGUCUGAUCUCCGAAAGGAGAAGAUGAGGAAAGAGAACAUCUACAUCAGAUGAGACGUCACUGGAUGUAAGAGGAUUACAGGAGUCUUGUAUGGUGCAACUUUCAUCAAAAUACAUCCUCUGCAAUCCUAGUCUCACCUCACUAUCCCCUAGCCAGAGAUGCCAUGUCCAGAAGCUAUUGUUCUAAAUUACCAGGU